ACACGUGAUUCAGAGUUUGAUCCUGGCUCAGGACGAACGCUGGCGGCGUGCCUAACACAUGCAAGUCGAACGGAGUUAAGACUUCGGUUUUAACUUAGUGGCGAACGGGUGAGUAACGCGUGAGAAACCUGCCUUUCAGUGGGGGACAACAGUUGGAAACGACUGCUAAUACCGCAUAAUGUUAUUUGGGGGCAUCCUUGAAUAACCAAAGCUUUAUGUGCUGAAAGAUGGUCUCGCGUCUGAUUAGCUAGUUGGUGAGGUAACGGCUCACCAAGGCGACGAUCAGUAGCCGGUCUGAGAGGAUGAACGGCCACAUUGGGACUGAGAUACGGCCCAG
rnacentral:rRNA from 1 species